GGCUCACGUCUUCCCACCAGCCAGUUACUCAAGAGGAAGCUGCCUUGGGCUCCAGACCGUUAGAUGCCAACUCCUGGCUUCCGGAAUCAGACUGGGCUGACCUGACCUGGCCCCUUCUCCCUGGGCCCUGUAGCUUUCUAACGGCCAGAAGGAGCAGUGACUCCCACCCCACAUGUCGGGCACGGAACAGGGUCCAUGUGGAGCCAGAAGGGACACAAGCAGGUCUGCUUAGUUCUGGGGCGCUGGGAACUCAGCUGGGAAUAGCUGAUCCUUCCCACCUUGCGGGGGGUCUCAGGGCAGGGAAGGGUUAGGACUCUGCUUUUUUCUGGGGGGGAGACAAAGUCCUGCCCUGUCACCAGGCUGGAGUGCAGUGGUGCCAUCUUGGCUCACUGCAACUUCUGCCUCCCGGGUUCAAAUGAUUCUCCUGUCUCAGCCUCCUGAGUA